AGAGUUUGAUCCUGGCUCAGAACGAACGCUGGCGGCAGGCCUAACACAUGCAAGUCGAACGAGAAGCCACCUUCGGGUGGUGGACAGUGGCAGACGGGUGAGUAACGCGUGGGAACGUGCCUUUCGGUUCGGAAUAACCCAGGGAAACUUGGGCUAAUACCGGAUACGCCCUUCGGGGGAAAGAUUCAUUGCCGAAAGAUCGGCCCGCGUCGGAUUAGCUAGUUGGUGGGGUAAUGGCUCACCAAGGCGACGAUCCGUAGCUGGUCUGAGAGGAUGACCAGCCACACUGGGACUGAGACACGGCCCAGACUCCUACGGGAGGCAGCAGUGGGGAAUAUUGGACAAUGGGCGAAAGCCUGAUCCAGCCAUGCCGCGUGGGUGAAGAAGGCCUUAGGGUUGUAAACCCCUUUCAGCGGGGAAGAUAAUGACGGUACCCGCAGAAGAAGUCCCGGCUAACUCCGUGCCAGCAGCCGCGGUAAUACGGAGGGGACUAGCGUUGUUCGGAAUUACUGGGCGUAAGGCGCACGUAGGCGGAUUUGUAAGUCAGGGGUGAAAUCCCGGGGCUCAACCUCGGAGCUGCCUUUGAUACUGCAAAUCUCGAGUCCGGAAGAGGUGAGUGGAAUUCCUAGUGUAGAGGUGAAAUUUGUAGAUAUUAGGAAGAACACCAGUGGCGAAGGCGGCUCACUGGUCCGGACUGACGCUGAGGUGCGAAAGCGUGGGGAGCAAACAGAUUAGAUACCCUAGUAGUCC
rnacentral:rRNA from 1 species